UACUGAGAAACAGAAGAAAAAAGAUUUAAUUUGUUUCUUUUUACAAGCAAAGCUGUAGUUUGUGCUAAUUAGAGCAGCUGGCUUACAGAGCCUGCCUUAAAUCCCAGAAGAAAUCAGGAAAAGAGGCUCAUUUUAAGUAUUUCUUAGUCUCCAAGGUUUUAAAUUAAAACCUCUUUUGGUUAAUGAGAAAGCUUACCAGUUCAGUUGAUAUCUGGCAGGAGGACUGACAAGGAAUUCUUUGCUAUUCGUAUUUCAUUCAGAGCAUGACCUUUUGAUUUAGAAAAUGUAUCACAGUCUAAUAAACUGUGACCAACAGUACUUUAAAAUUUAUUGGAGAAGUCAGAGGUCUCCGAUAGGUGCCUGCAUCUAGAGGGAGGCGGAGUAUGGAGAAGCUAUGGAAACAGUAAAAGAAGUGUUCGUUCUCCCGCAGGUCUUUUAGCAGAGAUGACUUUCAACCAAAAGUAUUUGGCGGGAGGUUUGUUGAGUCUCAGUCAGUGAGACCUUAGUUAUACUGUGUAAUUAGAUUCAAUCCUGUAUUCUGUAGAGCAUGGAAAGAAAGAGGUAGGUUGCUGUUAUACGAACAUUUCUUUAACUCAGUUUGUAUACAAAUAGUCUAUUUCCUAUCUUUCCUCAUGGUGUUUUUUAAAUUCAUUAUUUAUAUCUCUAAUAUUUAUUAUCCCUUGUUCUACUUUAUUAAUAGGGGCAACAUUUCAUCAAUAUAAGCAAAACACUCAAAAAAAACCAAAAAAACCAUGACUUUGUAAAUGACUUUCUGGUGAUUGUAAUCAGUAUUCUCUUGCUUUGCAGUUGUUUCAAUAACUAAUACACAGCUGUAUUGAUUGCAAAGUUUAAGCAGGCAUAAUUGCCUUCUAGGUUAAUGAAUUGUACCCACAGUGAGUUUGUGAGUGUGUGGUAGGCGUUUGGAAUGAGUCUGAGUCAGCGGGCAGCUCACAGUCAAGCUGGUAAUUUAUUGCACAAAACCAGGAAAGCCAAAGGAACAGAAGAAUUCUUAAAUACGCUAAGGGAUCUCAGUAUGCGUAUGCAAAGAAAAACACUUGAAAUUGAAAACCACCACCUGGACCACUUCACAAGCAACCCACUGUUAAAUGAAGCAUAUAUUCAAAAUUCUACUACAAAAUUGUUGUGCAGUGUUUUGACACACAAUGCUGUUAAUAUUAAAAAUUCCUGA
rnacentral:lncRNA from 1 species